GAGAGACACUCAAACUCCAAAUAUACAGCAGCAGGCGUCAGGGUCGGGAUUGAGCCGACAACCUCCUGUAUACCAGGCAAGGUAAUUAACAUCGUGCCACGGAGAAAGAAGCAAGUCAGGGUUUGGGACCGAACCCACGACCUCCUGUAUACCACGGAGAGAGAAGCAAGUCAGGGUUUGGGACCGAACCCACGACCUCCUGUAUACCAGGCGAGGUAGUUAACAUCUCGCCACGGAGAGAGAAGCAAGUCAGGGUUUGGGAUCGAGCUGACGACCUCCUGCAUACCGGGCGAGGUAGUUAACAUCUCGCCCAUAGACUUACACUCGGACCCAGGGACUGAAUAGUGAAUGGUGAUGACACAGGGUGCUCCAGUGGAGUGAGUUCGUGAUCUCAGCUAGGUGACACACACACUAUAUUUAGUUUUCCCAUUCAAAUGCGAUAGCAUUAAGGUAUGAGAAUUAUAUUAAUAUUGGGUUGACUUUUAACGCAACGGACAUUAUGAACCCUCUCGUAAGCAGAGCCUGCGCCAAGGUGACGUCACCCAGGUGUGGGUACGGGUCUCGUGCUGGGCGCACUGAACCUGGAGAACCCGAGUUCAUACCCCAGCCCGCCAUCACCAUCACCACUCAUCCGUGUAGAUAUGGGAGGGGGUGGGGGGGGCGACGCCUGUAUCGUGAAUCCAAUGCAAGUGGAUGUUUGUGGUCACGCGCUUGUGAAUGUGUGAGUCUAUGGGCUGCACGGCCUUGCGCAGGUUGGGCGAGGGGUUGGUGCCCAGGUGGACGUUGAUUGGUCACCACGCGUCCGGCGACCAAAGGGGAGAGAGAGAACACGGCCCAGCCGGAGGUCAGGUCAGUUCUAUGCGAGUCUAUGGGUCUCUACGCGAGUCUAUGGGUCUCUGUAUGCGAGUAUAUGGGUCUCUGUAUGCGAGUCUAUCGGGUCUCUAUAUGAGUCUCUGCGAGUCUAUGGGUCUCUGUAUGCGAGUCGAAGGCUGCAUGGUGAGAUGGCGUCAGGACACGUCUUGGGAGGCCGCUGCUGAGUGGUAUCAACUGCGGGAUCUGGCGGAGGGCACAACGCGUUGGCGAGGUGCGAUCGGGGUCGGUGAGUAUGUUGAACUUCUUUCGCACCGUACGUCGCCAGCCGUGCCAAUCGGAGGUGCCGGUGCGGGUAGGGGGGGGGGGUUGAAGGCAAUCAAUGGUCUGGCCACGAUGACGUCUUAAAUUGUGCAACAAGGUCCUUGUAGAAUCAACUCUCGUUGACGGUUUAAGGAAUGUUGGUAUUGUAACUCGAGUAUUGCCACUUGAGGCGGUCACUCGACACGGUCCAAUAUUCACUGUGGGCCCAUUUGACUCUUGAGUGUCAACGGCUCAACGAAGGCCCCUUCCUCAUGAUAGCCCGAGAGCGCAUCGACACCAUCGACACAAAGGGGGGUUUGCAGCAGAACUCGCCACGGGACAGGUCGGAGUAGUCUGUCUGCCACUGAUAACAUCAGCUACCGAUUUCCCAGAGGCGUCUUGUCUAUCCAGGGCUGAUUAAGCCACGUGGUGGGGUAAUUGAGGCCCACAAAGGUGGAAAUAGGUGACCCACCCUCCCGAUUAAUUGGGCCGAUGAGCCAAUGGCAAGGCAGCUUUGAGGGGGUGUGGAGGGAGGGAGAGGAGUGGAUGAUCUAUAUAAAGGGGCUGAGCCAGAACAGAGACAUCGCGAGCCACGGAGGUGUUGAUGCGCAGAGAAGCGUAACAUGAAACAACAACAAACAACCAGCAGCAGCGACCGCCAACAGCAGUAUUGGGGGACAAGCAGGCACUCUGGCAAGCACCCCGCGCAAGUCUUCCAGACCUCCGCCCCACUCGUGACCCCGCAAGGACACCGCCUGCUGACACCAACAAGCGCCAGCAGGUGGCGAUCACCACGACGGGCGCCACCCCACCGGCCAAACGCGAGCCCCGGGGGGCGUCCGCCGCAGUCGCGAGCGGCGACGACGCCCUCCGGUCAGCCGUCGUCGAUCCUCGGCUUCGUUGGCAAGGCGAGCCCCACCACCACCCCCAGGCGAAGCGCUCGAGGAGUUGCACCGUGGUGCUCUUGCCGCAGCCGCUGCUGCCGACGAGCGCCAGCGUCUGGCCGGGCUCCACGGCAAUGCUGAGGCCCUGCAGGACGGGCACGCCAGGCCGCGUCGGGUAGCGGAAGCGCACGUCGCGGAACUCGACGCGCCCAUGGGCGCCCCCUGCCGGCGCCACCCCGGCCUCGCUGUAGCUGUCGAUGGAGGGCACCUGCGCCAAC